rnacentral:rRNA from 1 species
CCUACGGGGGGCAGCAGUAGGGAAUAUUGCGCAAUGGGGGAAACCCUGAAGCAGCAACGCCGCGUGGAGGAUGAAGGUCUUAGGAUCGUAACUCCUUGUGUUAGAGAAGAUUCUGACAGUGUCUAACUAAUAAGUACCUUCUAAGUACGUGCCAGCAGCCGCGGUAAUACGGCGGGUGCAAGCGUUACUCGGAAUCACAGGGUGUAAGGGGUGCGUAGGCGGGGUAAUAAGUCAGAUGUGAAAUCCUGUAGCUUAACUACAGAACUGCAUUUGAAACUGUUACUCUGGAGUGUGUGAGAGGUUGGUGGAAUUCUAGGUGUAGGAGUGAAAGCCGUAGAGAUCUAGAGGAAUAUUAGUUGCGAAGGCGACCAGCUGGAACAUUACUGACGCUGAUGAGCGAAAGCGUGGGGAGCAAACAGGAUUAGAUACCCCAGUAGUC